AUAGCUGACGCACAAAGAUAGUGAGCAUUUCCAAUAAACAAUCACCAUCAUCAUGGUCAUCAUUAUUCACUGUAAAACUUUUCUCAUUGAUUUGUUCUACUGCUUCUAUUCACAAUACACCAGUGUAUCAGCAGAAAUUCCAGAGCUCCAUGAAUUUAUUGGCAUUAUUAAAAUUUUAGUGAUGCUAGCAAUUUUCAUGACUGGACAGUGUAAGAAUAUUAGAGUAUGAUAAUUUUAUUGCUGUAAACUUGUUAUUUUACUUGGUAUAAAAGUCAGUGCACAUCCUACAAAUUUCUUUUUGCUUAUAAUGGUCCAUAUGGAUGAAUAUAUUUAAAUACCAGAGGAUAAAGUACAACAUAGUGAAUUUUUAUAUGUGUAUUGAGUGAAUACUUAAUUUUCCACCUUUUCAUCCUUACUCCUUUUAUAUUUCCCAUUAUAUCACUUGAUCCAAAUUGUAAACUACUGGGGUGCUGUAUGUAAUGCAAAUUAAAAUCAUAUGUGGAUGAUGAAGUCUUAUAACAAGCACUUUAAUUUACAGUUGCAGGUGUGAAAAGCAACAAGUUCAGCUGGCCACCACCAUCAGAGUCUGCUGCCUCCACACCCAGCGAGGAAGAAGAAGCUGCUCCAGAUUCCACCAAUCUGUAGAACGCUAUUGAAGGUCCAAAAAACGACAAUCUGGGAUCUAAGUGUUGAUCUUCCAUCAAGAUGCUACGAAUGCAGACAGUGGUCUUUCAUGUUACUGGUUGUGUUACACCUCAAAGAUUAUUCUCUAGCAUUAAAUGGACAUCAAACUUUGGCUAUUGAGUUCUCUUGGUGCUUGAGUUUGUCUGCUUUGAUAUAACUGAAUUCCUUCACCACAUUAUUUGGGUGUGAUAAUCUACUGUCUUGGCUCCUGCUGAGUUAUCUACUACUUGUAUCAAGAAGUAGGUGCUGGUGUCUGGCUCCUGCAACUAUAGAAGUGAUGACUGUCUGGAUGCCUGUGUCUGACUUGCUGUGACUUGGUAAAAUUGCUCGUUUAACAUCGUUUGUGGUGAUUCCUAGGUGUUGAUGUAGACAAAGAUCAAGGUACAGCAUAUUCUUUUGAUAAUGAUUAUGGAGUAGAGGAACUCUUCUUUGGGUAUUCUAUAUAGUUGCAUCUAAGCAUAUUACCAGCUAAGAAUAGUGUUAUUUUAUGAAGUAUUUUUCUUUUCCACUUUUUAUAUCCCUUGUAAUAACUUUACCUUGUGAUGUCAUAUGCUACCAACAAGUAACUAAACAAAUAUUUAGUAGUAGUAUGAUUUUUUUUUUCUUUUUUUUUUUCAAAUUAUUACAUGUAAACUAUUAUUAAUUAUACACCUAGCAAUGGGUCCAAUAGAGAAAAUAUAGUUACCAUAUUUCCAAAGUAGAAUUGCAUUUUCCAAGACUUCAGAACAAGUAAUUGAAUUGGCCAAAGUUCAGUCCAUGAUGAGCUUGUUCGUAGGAAAUAUAAGUAGGUGACUCCUGUUAUCUGCACAACUGUGAAAGAGCUUUAGUUUUGAAAAGAAGUUCUUGGUUCCAUCGCUGGAAAUUAUUACUGUGUGAUUUAUUAUAAUUACCAAUUAUCUUACAUUAUUUGUAGUUUGUAUACAGUUAGGUCAUGUCCAAGUUUAUAAAUAUAUAUAGAUAUAUAUGUGGUAUAUAUGUUAUAUAUAUUUAUGUAUUUCAUAUUCACAUAAUUGGUCAUGGAUAAAGUCUUUUGUUGAUUAGUAAUAUUGUUAAUUAUUUUUUACACUUGUAUUGUAAAAUAUAUCAGAUAUAUUUAAAAUGUUUCCCAUGUAGAAGAUUUAUAUAUUUUUCUCUUCUCUGCAAUACAGGAAUUACCAACUGUAUGUAAGAUAGCAAAAUUAUUGCAUCUCUAGUCACAUGUGAGGUCUUUUAAUAUUAAGUGCCAAAGUCAGCACAAAAAAAAAUCAAGCCUGGAGAAAGCACUGGGAGACAUUCCUGUUCUUUUAUGUACCAGACCUUUUCCACCUGGUUAAUUCCAGUUGUCAACCAAGUAGGCACUUGCUUAAUUCAGAAAUAGCAAAGCAAUAAGAGCUUAAUGAUACAAAAAAAAGAGUAAAGAUUUAGGUACAGCUAAGCAGUCUUUCAUUAGUGACAAUUCUUCUUUAGCAGUUGGUUAAAAUAGUCUGUGAGCCCAGUCUGGUGCUGUUCUGUAGUGUGCCUUGUGACCAGCUGGCAGAAAAUUACCUCCUGUGGGUUUUUUUGUGUAAAGUUUGGCCAGGUGUAGAGCAAAAACGAAAAAAAGAAAAAAAAUUGUUUUCACAGCUUGUUAUAUUAGGCUUUUCUAUUUUAUUUACAAAGUGAUUGAAGCUUUAUUUCCCAAACAAAACCCAAGUUACUUACCCAAGGUGGUGGAGUAUCACCCAUUGUUCUGUGGGGUGAAUUGAUUAUGCCAGUCUUUUUAUUCUGAAAUAUUGUAUUUUGAUUUUAUUUUGUUUGAUUCAGUUAUGUGAUUAUAACUUUAAAAUCUUGCCCCUGAUGAUAAUUUGUCCAUAACUGGGCAAGGAUUGUUUAGUCUUUAUUCUCUUGUAUGUGUUUCUCCCAUUCUCGUUUCUCUUUUCUCUUCAUCUUUGUGAACCAGACUCCAAAACUUCUUUUUACAUGAAUAACAACAGUUUGUUUUGAAUGCUUUAUUUGAAAUAUUUAUUGUAUCUAGUUUUUGAAUUUGAAGCUUUUUCAUUUUUAUCUAUUUUUCUGUACUUUUUGUGUGUCCUUGAAAAAUGUGAAGGUGGUCCAGCAUAGUAUUAGGUCAGUAUUAUACUUCCAGGCUGAUACUAUUAUCUUCCUUGACCACCUGAACAAAGUUUGAGUUCCAAAAAAAAAUAUGCAUAAUGCCAUAUUCUAAUGACAUCCAUCAUAAUGUACAUAAUAAUAAAAUUUCCUAAUUA